GACUCCCCCCAGUUUGUGGUGCUGCUGGCCUCUCAAGAUGUCAGUGUGUUCUAAACACACACUAUCCAGUUCCACCUCCCACUCUGGAGCAUGGAAACUCAAGCAGUCCUGAAGUUUGCAGGCCAGCCUCCAUUUGAGCAUUUGCCCAUAAGAUUUUGUACUCAGAAUGGAGAUUGUUAUGUUGGAUACCAGAUGAUGCAGUUUUGUGAACCCCUGGAGCAGGAAAGUCGUGUUCAUCAUUGGCCGGCACAAAGUCCAGACGAGCCCUCUGAAUGA
rnacentral:lncRNA from 1 species